GACGAACGCUGGCGGCAUGCCUAACACAUGCAAGCCGAGCGAGCGGAUCCCUUCGGGGUGAAGCUAGCGGCGGACGGGUGAGUAACACGUGGGCAACCUGCCUCAUAGAGGGGAAUAGCCUUCCGAAAGGAAGAUUAACACCGCAUAAGAUUGUAGCUUCGCAUGAAGCAGCAAUUAAAGGAGCAAUCCGCUAUGAGAUGGGCCCGCGGCGCAUUAGAUGGUUGGUGAGGGAACGGCUCACCAAGGCGACGAUGCGUAGCCGACCAGGGGAGGUGAUCGGCCACAUUGGGACAGAGACACGGCCCAGACUCCUACGGGAGGCAGCAGUGGAGAAUAUUGAACAAUGGGGGAAACCCUGAUGCAGCAAUGCCGCGGGAGUGAUGACGGCCUUCGGGUUGUAAAGCUCUGUCUUCGGGGACGAUAAUGACGGUACCCGAGGAGGAAGCCACGGCUAACUACGUGCCAGCCGCCGCGGUAA
rnacentral:rRNA from 1 species